rnacentral:rRNA from 1 species
GUAGAGCACUGUUUCGGCUAGGGGGCCAUCCCGGCUUACCAACCCGAUGCAAACUGCGAAUACCGGAGAAUGUUAUCACGGGAGACACACGGCGGGUGCUAACGUCCGUCGUGAAGAGGGAAACAACCCAGACCGCCAGCUAAGGUCCCAAAGUCAUGGUUAAGUGGGAAACGAUGUGGGAAGGCCCAGACAGCCAGGAUGUUGGCUUAGAAGCAGCCAUCAUUUAAAGAAAGCGUAAUAGCUCACUGGUCGAGUCGGCCUGCGCGGAAGAUGUAACGGGGCUAAACCAUGCACCGAAGCUGCGGCAGCGACACUGUGUGUUGUUGGGUAGGGGAGCGUUCUGUAAGCCUGCGAAGGUGGCCUGUGAGGGUUGCUGGAGGUAUCAGAAGUGCGAAUGCUGACAUAAGUAACGAUAAAGCGGGUGAAAAGCCCGCUCGCCGGAAGACCAAGGGUUCCUGUCCAACGUUAAUCGGGGCAGGGUGAGUCGACCCCUAAGGCGAGGCCGAAAGGCGUAGUCGAUGGGAAACGGGUUAAUAUUCCCGUACUUGGUGUUACUGCGAAGGGGGGACGGAGAAGGCUAUGUUGGCCGGGCGACGGUUGUCCCGGUUUAAGCGUGUAGGCUGGUUUUCCAGGCAAAUCCGGAAAAUCAAGGCUGAGGCGUGAUGACGAGGCACUACGGUGCUGAAGCAACAAAUGCCCUGCUUCCAGGAAAAGCCUCUAAGCAUCAGGUAACAUCAAAUCGUACCCCAAACCGACACAGGUGGUCAGGUAGAGAAUACCAAGGCGCUUGAGAGAACUCGGGUGAAGGAACUAGGCAAAAUGGUGCCGUAACUUCGGGAGAAGGCACGCUGACACGUAGGUGAAGUGAUUUACUCAUGGAGCUGAAGUCAGUCGAAGAUACCAGCUGGCUGCAACUGUUUAUUAAAAACACAGCACUGUGCAAACACGAAAGUGGACGUAUACGGUGUGACGCCUGCCCGGUGCCGGAAGGUUAAUUGAUGGGGUCAGCGCAAGCGAAGCUCCUGAUCGAAGCCCCGGUAAACGGCGGACCGUAACUA